rnacentral:rRNA from 1 species
GAUGAACGCUGGCGGCGUGCCUAAUACAUGCGAGUCGAGCGAACGGACGAGAAGCUUGCUUCUCUGAUGUUAGCGGCGGACGGGUGAGUAACACGUGGAUAACCUACCUAUAAGACUGGGAUAACUUCGGGAAACCGUAGCUAAUACCGGAUAAUAUUUUGAACCGCAUGGUUCAAAAGUGAAGGACGGUCUUGCUGUCACUUAUAGAUGGAUCCGCGCUGCAUUAGCUAGUUGGUAAGGUAACGGCUUACCAAGGCAACGAUGCAUAGCCGACCUGAGAGGGUGAUCGGCCACACUGGAACUGAGACACGGUCCAGACUCCUACGGGAGGCAGCAGUAGGGAAUCUUCCGCAAUGGGCGAAAGCCUGACGGAGCAACGCCGCGUGAGUGAUGAAGGUCUUCGGAUCGUAAAACUCUGUUAUUAGGGAAGAACAUAUGUGUAAGUAACUGUGCACAUCUUGACGGUACCUAAUCAGAAAGCCACGGCUAACUACGUG